UGCCAGCCGCCGCGGUAAUACGGAGGGUGCGAGCGUUGCUCGGAAUCACUGGGCGUAAAGCGGGCGCAGGCGGCUCGUCAAGUCGGAUGUGAAAGCCCAGGGCUCAACCCUGGAACUGCAUUCGAAACUGGCGGCCUGGAGUACGGGAGAGGGAAGCGGAAUUCCUGGUGUAGAGGUGAAAUUCGUAGAUAUCAGGAGGAACACCGGUGGCGAAAGCGGCUUCCUGGCCCGAUACUGACGCUGAGGUGCGAAAGCGUGGGGAGCAAACAGGAUUAGAUA
rnacentral:rRNA from 1 species